rnacentral:lncRNA from 1 species
UCAGGCAAAGGGAGAUAAAAGGAAUAAAGCCCAAAUUUAGUGGAGGAGUACCUUUCUAUGUGUGGUUCUUGGAAGAGUUGGCUUAGCUAACCGUGAGCUGAUGUCCAACUGCUGGUGCAAAAGCAAAAGUCCGUUGUUGCUAGGGUCGUUGCUAGGGUACAAAGAUGCCAGCUUUGAUGGGAAAGAUGAUUUUCUUCUUGGGGCCUCUGCAUGGUUUUCACCACUGCCAGCAAAGAAUCGACUUGCCCAGCUAGAAGCUAGUACCCCCAAGAACAGAAUCUAAGAGACAAAAACUGAGGCAUAAUUUCCCAGGCUGCCACUGAUGAAGGUGGUGGGACCAUUUACUGACACGCAGAAAUGAAGCAGUGAACCUCAGAAGAGAAGAGACAGUUCCUCCAUUGAAAUGGAACAGAGUAAAGGGAAAUGUUAGGGGAUCGUAACCUUCAAUUGGAGGGAACGAUAUAAUUUUCUC